GAAGCAGCAGUAGCAGAUAGCUUUCUGUGUCCUUCACUGGCUGCAAGGUGUGACAAGGAGAAAGGUUAUGUUCCAGAAGCCUUUGCAGCUUCAGAAGGCCAGAUAACUUCCAAAAUUACCCAAGGAUUCAUCAUAUCAAGGGACAAACAGCUUCCUGCUGCUUCUCUCCGUGUCCUCUCAGGGCGAUAGUGUCUGGCCCUCUCUCAAGAUCUGGGUUUUCCUCUAUCUGGAUUCUCCCAGGUCAGGUCAGAUUUGGAGCUUGGACAACAUAUAAAGGUGCUUCUAAAUUACUAGGAGGAACAUUGUGAACAUGGGAAGUCCUAAAAUCCUCUCCCCAGAGAUAUGGUUUGGAAGAAAGGUCAACAAUCUAUGCGUGUCAUAAGUACUGCAAGAAAUUCUAGUGCCAGUGGUCCAUGGGCCACCUUUGAGACCCCCCACCCCCCACCCCGGCCCAGAGCAUCUCUUACUGCUGAACUCCCAGAAAACCUCCCUGGUCCUCUUUUGCUGGGCAACACAAGACAGCUCGGCAGGAUUUAGGUUACAUGACAAACAUUUAGUGAGUGGCCCCACUUGGGCCAGGCAGUCAUUCCUCUGGGACCCUGCUCCUCCUGCCUUUCCCUGCUCCUUCCUUUUCCCAAUCCCCUAUUAUUGUUGCUUCUCACCUCUGGCUCCUUUGCUCUUGCUGCCUUCUUGAACUCUCUGAAGCCACUGAACCUCUGAGGCUGGGAGUCCUCUUCUCCUCUAAACUUCUCUUUCCUUAGCAGUGGGGACUCAGCCCCAGUAAGUGGGAUCCUGGCUCUGAUAUGGGUUGGCUGUGUCACCACCCAAAUCUCAUCUUGAAUUGUAACUCCCACAAUUCCCAUGUGUCAU